GACGGAAGGUGCAAGCGUUGCUCGGAAUCACUGGGCGUAAAGGGUGCGUAGGCGUCUUGGUAAGUUGGGUGUGAAAGCCCCGGGCUCAGCCCGGGAAGGGCACUCGAAACUGCCGAGCUGGAGUGCCGGAGGGGAGAGUGGAAUUCCUGGUGUAGCGGUGAAAUGCGUAGAUAUCAGGAGGAAUACCGGUGGCGAAGGCGGGUCUCUGGGCCGAUACUGACGCUGAGGAGCGAAAGCGUGGGGAGCGAACAGG
rnacentral:rRNA from 1 species